GACCGGUCUGAGUGCAGUGGUGUUUACAACUAAUUGAUCACAACCAGUUACGGAUUUCUUUGUUACUUGUUCACUGCCACUGCUUUAUUUAGCUAGCCCAAA
rnacentral:Y_RNA from 1 species